UACUUGUCCCAGUCUCCCGCGCUUGAAAAACCGAAAGAAGGACGGGGCUGAAGUAUGACACUAUCACAAUGACGAUGAUAAAGUUAGCCAACAUGUGUCGUUUCCAGUACUUCGUCCAAACGCGCCCAACUGGAAUAUUGUAGUAAUGGAUUUGCACAAAAUUUGAAAGGCAAUUGAAAAAGAAGUCGAUUCCAAUGCCAAUUGCAACUCUUUU